GGCCUGAUAGCUCAGCUGGUAGAGCCUGCGCUAUACAAAAGCGUAAGCGGCAUCCAUGCAUGGGUUCGAAUCCCACCGAGGCUA
rnacentral:tRNA from 1 species